UACCGGCGGCUCGAGUGGUGGCCACUAUUACUGGGCUUAAAGGGUCCGUAGCUUGAUGUACAAGUCUCUUGAGAAAUCCGCCGGCUUAACCGGUGGGCGUUCAGGGGAAACUGUAUUUCUAGGGACCGGGAGAGGUGAGAGGUACUGCCGGGGUAGGAGUGAAAUCCUGUAAUCCCGGUGGGACCACCUAUGGCGAAGGCAUCUCACCAGAACGGGUCCGACAGUGAGGGACGAAAGCUGGGGGAGCAAACCGG
rnacentral:rRNA from 1 species